UGGGGAAUCUUGGACAAUGGGCGCAAGCCUGAUCCAGCAAUGCCGCGUGGGUGAAGAAGGCCUUCGGGUUGUAAAGCCUUUCGGUGGGGAAGAAAUCGGUCAGGCGAAUAGUCUGGCCGGAUGACGGUACCCGCAGAAGAAGCACCGGCUAACUACGUGCCAGCAGCCGCGGUAAUACGUAGGGUGCGAGCGUUAAUCGGAAUUACUGGGCGUAAAGGGUGCGCAGGCGGCCCUGUAAGACCGGUGUGAAAUCCCCGGGCUCAACCUGGGAAUUGCGCUGGUGACUGCAGGGCUAGAGUACGGUAGAGGGGGUGGAAUUCCUGGUGUAGCAGUGAAAUGCGUAGAGAUCAGGAGGAACACCGAUGGCGAAGGCAGCCCCCUGGGCCUGUACUGACGCUCAUGCACGAAAGCGUGGGGAGCAAACAGGAUUAGAUACCCUGGUA
rnacentral:rRNA from 1 species